AUUGAACGCUGGCGGCAUGCCUUACACAUGCAAGUCGAACGGCAGCAUGGAAGAGCUUGCUCUUCUGAUGGCGAGUGGCGAACGGGUGAGUAAAGCAUCGGAACGUACCGUGUAGUGGGGGAUAACGUAGCGAAAGUUACGCUAAUACCGCAUACGCACUGAGGUGGAAAGCAGGGGAUCGCAAGACCUUGCGCUAUACGAGCGGCCGAUGUCAGAUUAGCUAGUUGGUAGGGUAAAGGCCUACCAAGGCGACGAUCUGUAGCGGGUCUGAGAGGAUGAUCCGCCACACUGGGACUGAGACACGGCCCAGACUCCUACGGGAGGCAGCAGUGGGGAAUUUGGACAAUGGGCGAAAGCCUGAUCCAGCCAUGCCGCGUGAGUGAAGAAGGCCUUCGGGUUGUAAGCUCUUUCGGCUGGGAAGAAAUCGCACAGGCUAAUACUCUGUGUGGAUGACGGUACCAGCACAAGAAGACCG
rnacentral:rRNA from 1 species